GUGUGGCUUAGUGGUAGAGUGCUUGCCUAGCAUGCAUGAAGCCCUGGGUUCGAUUCCUCAGCAC
rnacentral:tRNA from 1 species